CCCACCUGCUGCUUUGUCUUCUGCUUCCAACAAGUACUUCGUAGAAGCUUGCAAGCGGAACGUUGACGAUGUGGAAAAAGGAGCGUCCUGUUCAAAGUCCACUCCUGCUACAGGCAACCGGGGGUUGAUAUUCGGAUUUCGAAAGUUGUAUGUGGGAAGACGAAGGGAGGGAGAGUCAUCCCUUCGUGAAAAGGCACGGCUUCGUGGGAAGAAUGCGAAGACGAAGGAAGGUUUAGGGCAUGCGAAGAAGAAGAUGAGAAGAAGAACUUGUUUUCGUCUUCGUCUUCGUCUGAUUGGGAGGAAGGCUUCGUGUUCUUCUGUGGGAAGGCGAAGGGAGCAGUUCUUAACUUCCUCGGGAGGGAAGGAAGAAAUUGGAACGCGGUCUUUUGGUGUAUGUGAAACGCACAGUUUCAUUUUCCCACAGAGGUUUUCCCAUCGAUUGCAACAAGAAUUUUUCAUUUUGUAUAUUAAAAUUUCUUGCAAUUCUUUUUCCUGAA